CUUGCACGAGCCCAGAUACAGCGGGUCGCCGGCGUCGCGGGUCCGGCCGUAGGUGGCCAGCAGCGCCUGGGCCUC
rnacentral:antisense_RNA from 1 species